UCUGAUGUGAAAGCCUUCGGCUUAACCGGAGAAGUGCAUCGGAAACUGGAUAACUUGAGUGCAGAAGAGGGUAGUGGAACUCCAUGUGUAGCGGUGGAAUGCGUAGAUAUAUGGAAGAACACCAGUGGCGAAGGCGGCUACCUGGUCUGCAACUGACGCUGAGACUCGAAAGCAUGGGUAGCGAACAGGAUUAGAUACCCUGGUAG
rnacentral:rRNA from 1 species